GUCUGUAUUUGCUUUUGUUUUAAGAAUGAUCGAUUUUACUGAUCUUUACUUUUAUUAAAGUUUCUGAAUAGUCCCAGGAAGUUAUGAAAAAAAUUUAUCAUUUAGAAUGUGAAGUUAAUUCAUAUGCACUACUAUUUGUUUUCAAAUAUCAAAAUAUAGGGCUCGAGCAUAUUUUCAACAAUUAUAUGCCUGGAACUUUUAA
rnacentral:lncRNA from 1 species